rnacentral:tRNA from 1 species
GGGGCUGUAGCUCGGUGGUAGAGCGCUUACCUAGCAUGUGUGAGGCCCUGAGUUCUAUUCUUAGCACCA